GACGAACGCUGGCGGCGUGCUUAACACAUGCAAGUCGAACGGAAAGGCCCUGCUUUUGUGGGGUGCUCGAGUGGCGAACGGGUGAGUAACACGUGAGUAACCUGCCCUUGACUUUGGGAUAACUUCAGGAAACUGGGGCUAAUACCGGAUAGGAGCUCCUGCUGCAUGGUGGGGGUUGGAAAGUUUCGGCGGUUGGGGCUGGACUCGCGGCUUAUCAGCUUGUUGGUGGGGUAGUGGCUUACCAAGGCUUUGACGGGUAGCCGGCCUGGGAGGGUGACCGGCCACAUUGGGACUGAGAUACGGCCCAGACUCCUACGGGAGGCAGCAGUGGGGAAUAUUGCACAAUGGGCGGAAGCCUGAUGCAGCAACGCCGCGUGCGGGAUGACUGCCUUCGGGUUGUAAACCGCUUUCGCCUGUGACGAAGCGUGAGUGACGGUAAUGGGUAAAGAAGCACCGGCUAACUACGUG
rnacentral:rRNA from 1 species